rnacentral:rRNA from 1 species
GAUGAACGCUAGCGGCAGGCUUAAUACAUGCAAGUCGAGGGGCAGCGGGGAUAGCAAUAUCUGCCGGCGACCGGCAAACGGGUGCGGAACACGUACGCAACCUUCCCAAAACAGGUGAAUAGCCCUCCGAAAGGAGGAUUAAUACACCGUAAGAUAUAGAGGUGGCAUCAUUUUUAUAUUAUAGGUAGCAAUUACCGGUUUUGGAUGGGCGUGCGCCUGAUUAGGUAGUUGGUGNGGGUAACGGCCCACCAAGCCUUGAUCAGUAACUGGUGUGAGAGCACGACCAGUCACACGGGCACUGAGACAC